CGAUUGCACUCGCAAUAAUCAGUGCACGUGUAUGGCACUGACGUUCUUGGCCUACCAUGCUGAGGGGUUUCAUUUUGAUUCAGACGUUCUUGACAGAGUUCUUGAAAAUGGAGACUCACUCUAUGCGUGGACAAUAUGUGGGCUAGGACUACGUUUAAUCAGCAAUCAUUUAACCAAAGAGGAAAUGCCAAAGAUAGUUCACACCGACAACAAUGCAUACACAGUUACACAGUUGGAGCCGAAAUUUGGUUUGGUGAGGGAUCGCAGCAAUUCCCUAAUAGAUCCUUAUUUGUUGCCACUUGCCAGACAACUUGAGUGCCUCUCACAAGAUGUCACUCAUGCUUUUCUGAUUGUGGCUCCAGAGUGCUUUGCGGUUUUUCGUGAUAGGUCAGGAUGCUAUGGUUUUUUUGAUUCGCACAGUCGAUCUUCAGUAGGUUUGCCAGUCCCAAACGGAACUGCGAUUAUGAUGACAUUUUCACACUUAGAUGACUUAGUCGACCAUGUGCAUGAGCUCCUUUCGGAUCGCAGCCCCGAUGCGAACUACGAGUUGGUACCGGUUUCCUUUGGAUUAGAACAGAUAGCAAGUGACAGACAGGUACAGUUGGAUGUCGUAAUCACUUCAGAGCCCACCAAAGAAACAGACGCAGCAAUAAGAGAAUGUGUUGAGACAGAUCAGGAGGAGCUGAUAGUACCACCAUGCGUCCAUGUUCAAAUAGAUUUUUCCAAAGUGAGUAAAACGAGGCGACGGACCGCUAUGAAAAGGGCACUAAAGUGCCAACAAUGUAGACCGUUUGAAGCUUCAAACAAACCCGAUCCCCGUCAAAAAAAACGUCUACAAAUGAAGGUCAAGUAUGUAACAGACACUAAUUACCGCCAACAAAAAUUAAACGGCUUUACCACGCGAUACAGGUGUGAUAGUGCCUUUAAGAAUAAACAGAAGACGCACGUAGCUGAAAAAUACCACAGAAGUCCGACGACCAAAAAGACUUUAAUGUCAGCAUAUGUUAGGAGAAGGUAUCAAUCUGAUCUGGCUUUUGUUGAACGACAGAAGCUGAAUUUCAGGGAAGGGUAUCACCUGGAUUCAGAUAUUCAGGUGAGAAAAAAGUUAUAUCAGAGGGAGCGGUAUCAACGGGAUCCAGCUUUUCAGGCGAGACAAAAGUUAUAUGUGAGACAGAGGUAUCACAGGGAUCCAGCUUUUCAGGCGAGACAAAAGUUAUAUCUGAGGGAGCGGUAUCAACGGGAUCCAGCUUUUCAGGCGAGACAAAAGUUAUAUGUGAGAGAGAGGUAUCACAGGGAUCCAGCUUUUCAGGCGAGACAAAGGUUAUAUCUGAGGGAGCGGUAUCAUCGGGAUCCAGCUUUUCAGGCGAGAUAUAGGGUGUAUCUAAGAGAUAAAUAUCGCAACCAUCCAGGUUUUAAGCAAAGGUGGGCUGUUUUCAUGAAAACAUGGAUGCAGAAGUAUAGAAACAAUCCUUAUUUUCAAAAUAACAAAUAUGUGCGAGAUAGUAAUAGACAUUCUAAUGUAAGGCUACAUGUUCAGCAUUGUGAAAAGAACCGUCUUACCAGGCAGCGUAUUCGGCACAAAUUACAAUGCGCGCUUCAAAUAAAGACUAAAUACAUGACUAGAACUCAACAUUCAGCCAACAAUGUGCAGGAUCCAGCAAGCGCUGUAAUGAAAGCAGCAAUAUCGUCGUUCCGCGAAAGAGUCGCACAUGGGCCCACAUAUGUUUGUACUGUAUGCCACCGUGCUCUUUUCCUAAAUCAGGUACAGAAAUGCAAUCGAGGAAAAUAUAGCGACAACCAUGACAUAGUGGCCGCCAGCUUGACAGGUAUAUAUGUUCACGUCUGCAACAACAGUUGUUCUGCCCCAUGCACUGCCCCGCAAGAGAGAAAGCAGGAAUGGAUAUGUCACUCCUGUGACUCCCACCUCAGGAGAUGUGCAAUGCCACCUCUGGCAGUUGCAAAUAAGUUGGAUCUGGCACCCAUUCCCCAAGAGCUGUCCGAUUUAAAUGUACUCGAGAGACAGCUGAUAGCAAAAAUUAUACCUUUUGCAAAAAUUGUAGCAUUGCCCAAAGGACGGCAACGAGCUGUUCAUGGCUCAGUAGUGUGCGUACCGUCGGAAAUGGAAGCAGCAGUGAACUCACUACCUCGGCCACGUAGCGAAGCUCAACUGCUGCAGGUAAAGCUGAAGAGACGCCUUCGGUAUAAAGGACAUCAGCAUUUUUAUACAGUAAAUAUGGCGAAUGUUAUAGCCGGGCUCAGGACGCUGAUAGACACUCAUCCACAGUACAGGGAUGUGUGCAUCAAUGAGAGUGCAGCAGCUGAAAGUGUCCUUGAAGGGGAAGAGGAGCCAUCCGCCCUGCCGUCAUCAUCCUUGCAGCAAGAGGCCAGCAACGCCCAAGUUACGCAGGCACAGCAUGUUGAACGUGAUCAGGAGGAACUUCGGCCGGGCCUCAUGUUCGAUACAUGCAUGCAGCCGCUUGACAUUUCACAGGAAAGUCUUUCAUUUGGGGAUGGGAUAUUCAGCAUUGCUCCUGCCCAACAAAACAAGCCUGUUGGAUUUUUUGCUGUGCCGCAGCUGGAGGCCAUGGCCUUUCCUGUUCUGUUCCCAACGGGAAAGAACACAAUGGAUGAGGAGAGGAUCGUUAAAGUAUCACCGAGUUCUUACUUCAACACCAGAUUGUUUUCAGUUGAUCCACGCUUUGCUGAAGAUCAGGGCUACCUUUUCUUUGCCCAAUUUGUCAUUGAAACGUACAUGGCCAAUAACAGCAUGUCGAUUCAGUCGCGGAAAGGAAAACCUCACACUGCGGAUGGGAGGAAAAUUCUGAACCGGAUGAUCCAGGACAAGGAGGCGUUGGAGCGGCUCAUACAGAACAGGGAAGCGACCAGAUUUAUGCAGCCACUCCGAGGAACACCAGCAUACUGGGAGAAAGCUCACCGGGAGCUCCACGCAAUGGCCAGGCAGUUGGGGAAGCCAACAUUUUUUCUUACCUUUUCUGCGGCGGAAAUGAGAUGGCCUGAAGUCACUGCUGUGAUAAAAGCGCAGCAAGGCCAACAGGAGGAUCACUUUUCAGAUCUGGACUGGAACGCUAAAUGCGAGAUUCUCCGCAGCAAUCCAGUCACGGUCAUGCGCAUGUUUGAGAAAAGGGUAGAUGCUCUCUUAGAGCUUAUUCUGUCUCCUGCGCAGCCCAUCGGCCCAGUCGAGGACUACUUUUAUCGUGUUGAGUUUCAAGCACGAGGAAGUCCUCAUAUACACAUGGUGGUGUGGAUAAAGGACGCACCGGUGAUCGAGGAACCAGAUCCCAUCUACUGUGGCGAAGUGGUCGAAUUCAUCGACCGUUAUAUCACCUGCCACAUCCCCGAUCAAACCAAGGAUCCGGAACUCCAUGAAGUGGUUACGAGUGUUCAAACUCACAGCCGCAGUCACACCAAAUCUUGCCGAAAAGGAAAUGUCUCCUGUCGCUUUGGAUUCCCUAAACUGCCCAUGGAUGUCACCACAAUUACCUUUCCCUUUGAGGACCCGACCAGUGAUGACGAAGAGGAAAACGAUGACCCCAAGAAGAAGAGACGGAAGGAGGAAGACGCCCGUGCCAAAAGGACCAAGUUGGCGAAGAAACAGAGGGAGUCCAAGGAAAAGCUGAAACAGCUAAGAGAGCGUCUUAUGGACACACAGGUUCCGGAGGACUUGACGGACCUGCUCAAUUCGUGCCAGCUGACCCUGGGUCGGUAUAAGCACUAUGUUGAGAACCUCAGUACUGGGAUGGCUGUCCACUUGAAGCGUACACCGCAAGAAAGUUGGACUAAUGCCUACAACCCCCAUCUGCUGCGUGCGUGGAACGCCAACAUGGACAUCCAGUAUAUUCUGGAUGAUAUCAGCUGCAUCAUGUACAUGAUGUCUUACAUCUCCAAGCCGGAGCACGAGAUGACAGAGUUCCUCAAAUCUGUCAUCAAGGACGUGCAAAAGUCUGACGCCAACCAGAAGGAGGAGAUGCAAAAGAUCAUGCAGGCGUAUUCAAAGCACAGAGAGGUAAGUGCUCAGGAAGCAGUGGCACGAACAUGCAGUUUGCCCCUGAAGAAGUCCUCACGCAAUGUGGUGUUCCUCCAAACCGACGAGGACGGUUUCCGAAUGAGUCUGCCCAUGAGUCGGCUUAUGACCAUGCACCCAGAUUCAGCUGAAGUGUGGAUGUCAAGUUUGCCGGAAAAGUACGCCAACAGACCACGUACGCAGGCGUUUGAGUCUAUGUGUCUGGCAGAGUUUGCGUCUGAUUACAGGGUGGUCUACGGUUACGAGAGAGAAGGGCCAAAUGUCAUUCCCCUUUUGAACGACAUGGGUUGCAUUCAGAAGAGGACCAGGGGAAAACCUGCCGUCAUAAGAUACACGCGGUUUUCCAUGACAAAGGUUCCUGAAAAAUAUUUCAGGGCCCUUCUCAAACUCUACUUGCCCCACAGGACGGACCGUGAGUUGACCAGCGACUCCCACCCAACCUAUGAGUCAUUCUACCUGGACGGAUGGUCAAGGCUAGGUCCUGCAAAGGCCAUCGUUGAUGAGAAAAUGAAGCGGUUUGAGGGCCAAGCGAAGAAACUGGACAAGGCUUUGGAGCGACUCCAACAGGAAGGUCCAGCUGUUAAUGCGUGGAACUCUUUUGCGCCAGAGGUGGAAGCAGAGCGCCUGGAAUGUCUUGCUGCGCUGAAGGCCAUGAUGCCAAACGCAGCGGACGAGCGGGAUGAGCAGGAUGAUGUUCCUGCCUAUCAGGCUGACCUUUCCGGCGCCCCAGCACUGCCGGCCUUUGAAGCACCCCAGUUGAGUCCGGACUUUGUGAGGAGGAUGUACCGCAGUCUUAACAUCAUGCAGGCUUCCGUCUUCUAUGCCGUACGCGACUGGUGUUUGCAGCGCGUUUCUGAUCGCGACCUUGAGCCCUUUCAUUAUUUCAUCUCAGGGGGAGCUGGAUGUGGCAAGUCACAUGUCAUCAAGUGCAUUUACCAGGAGGCCACCAAGAUUUUUCGGCAGCUUCCUGGCAUUCGUACCGAUGCGGAUUUGUCUCAACCCACGGUUCUGUUGACGUCAUUUACCGGCACAGCUGCGCUCAACAUUUCUGGGAAAACCUUGCACUCGGUCUUGAAGCUCCCAAGAAGUUUGAGGCCUCCAUAUCAAGGACUCGGCAACGCGCUGGACACCUUGCGGGCGAGUCUUUCCAACGUGCAGAUUUUAAUCAUUGAUGAAAUAUCAAUGGUCUCCAAGGAUCUUUUUGCGUAUGUCCACUGGCGGUUCCAGCAAGUCAAGGGCAACCGGAAGACCUUUGGAGGGAUCUCUGUGCUUGUAGUUGGGGACUUUUACCAGCUGCCACCUCUUGGAAGGGCCAAACCCCUCUGUGUGUAUGAGGAUAAUGUCCUUGACCUCUGGACCAACUUUCAGUUGGUCCGACUUACGGAGAUCAUGCGACAGAAGGAGGACCUGACCUUUGCCCAGCUUUUGAACAGGGUAAGGGAAAAGAGGAAGGAGGAGCCCUUGUAUGAAAGUGACCGGGCUUUACUGCAGCAGGCUACUGUCGAAACAUCAGUGUCACACCAGUACGCUCCACAUUUUUGCAACCAAUAAGGAGGUUGACGAACACAACCGUGCAACUGUGGCAGCUUUGAAACUGAAUGUGGUCGACAUUCCGGCAGAAAACUACAGAAAAGACCCCCGGACCGGACAAUUGGUCAUCGUGUCCAACAUGAUAACCGGGAGGAAAAGAGAUCUGCCCGACAACCUGCAAGCCGCUGUAGGAGCACGAGUCAUGAUCAUCCGGAACUUGGACAUUGAGGAUGGUCUCGUGAACGGCACCUUCGGGACCAUCAUGAACAUUGUCCGUGGACCACAGGGCGCUGUUACUUUUCUUGGCAUUUCUUUGGACAAUCCUGGAGCAGGCCUGAAAUUUCGGAAGAAACUUCAGGGACCCGGGGAUGAUUUGGCCUACAUAGAAAAGUCAGAGGAAAGUUUAAGCAUCAAAGGACUGGUGAGGCGGCAAUUCCCGGCAAAACUGGCCUUUGGAUGCACGGCGCACAAAGUGCAAGGCAUGACGCUAUCUUCUGCGGUCGUAUCUCUGAAGCGCGUGUUUGAACCUGGAAUGGCCUACGUCGCUCUAAGUCGCACGACCUCGCUCCAGGGACUGAAGAUCAUGGACUUGGAUGAGAAGAAAAUAUAUGCUGAUCCCACCAUUGCUUUGGCAAUGGACAGCAUGUUGCACGCUUCUUUCUUGUCUGUCAGACCGCUGUUGCACUUUGCACAAGGGCCUUCUCCGACUUUGAAGAUUGUCCACCAUAACACAGAGGGCCUCGCGUGUCACAUGGAGGACAUCAAAUCUCAUCAUGAGCUGAGACUGGCUGAUGUGCUUUGUUUGACGGAAACGCAUUUGUCUGGUUCCAUCUCGCCGCACUUGCAGCUGGAGGGCUACGCUGUUUUUGUACGGAACAGACGUGUUUCCUGUUUAAACAGGCCAGACACGGCUGCGAAAGAGGGAGGCGGAGUUGCAGCCUACUGUCGGAGGGAACUUCAAGGCCAGCCCCUUCGGUUUGUCCAGAAUGUGCCAGACCUUGAAUUCUUGGUGGUUAAAGUCACGGUGCCGAUCCCGGCUGUGGUGGCUACUGUUUAUCGACCACCGAACUUGAGUCUGGGCACAUUUCUACCUAAUUUGACAAGCCUCUUGGACACCUUGGCAAUGAUGGAAAGCCACCCCAUUGUUGUUUGUGGCGACUUCAACGAGGACCUGCUUUCAAAACGCAAGAAGCCUAUACUGGAGUUGUUUGAGUCCAGAGGCUAUACUCAGCUCAUCGGCAAGGCAACAACUGGCAAGCAGACACUGAUUGAUCACAUUUACAUUUCUCAACCACAGUCUUGCAUUCAGUCAGGUGUUCUGCAUUCUUACUACAGUUACCACAGUCCGGUGUACUGUAUCUUAACAUCUUUGUAGAUCCUGGUCUGGUCUACACAUGCUGUCUUGUCCCCAAUGAACAUUUGCUUGCAAUGACCAUGUGGCCAUUUCUUCCCCUCCAUCCAUCCACGCCAUCUCACAUACGUAAGUACUCCGUGCUUGUGUCCUGAAGGCUAGGUAUGCUGUACGUCUGCUCAUGGGCUGCCUUUCAGAAAUGCUGCUGCACACGCUUUAGCCCCAACCGGAAGAUGUUGCUUUAUUAUAUGUAGUAGAUACAUACGCUAGUCAGAAUUACUGUAUUAUCUCUGAACGGGCAGUGUUGGCAUAGUCAUGUUCUCCAUGUUCUCAAUGUUCUCCCUAUUCCUGAAACUUCAUGUCACUUAUGAUGGAACAUUCUAAUAACUUGUCUCUCUCUCUCUCUCUCUCUCCCCUGUAGUAGGCACUAUUGCAUGAAUAGCCUGUUUGAGGCUGUUAUGUUCUACUCGGUCAUAGUAUUACUUUCAGCUUUUUCAAUUACUGUACUGACUUGUUACUAACUUGUCUCUCUUUCUCUCUCCCCUGUAGUAGGCACUGCUGCAUUGAAGACAUGAGAACAGUUAUUGGUAUCAGCGUUGCUGAUAUGUAGUCAUCGGACCGCUUUUUUUUCCGCAAUAUAUAAUAUAAAAGUAUAUACUGUUUGGGUGUGUGUGUGUAUAUACAGUAUCUAUAUGACAGUUACUAAUUUAUUUGACUAACUUGUCUCUCUUUCUCUCCCCUGUAGUAGGCACUGCUGCACAAAGAGCUGAGAACAGCAAAGCUCAAAGAUUUGUAUUAGUGGCAGUACAUUUUACACAAUAUAUAACAUGUAUAAAGUGUAUAUGUAUAUGACAGUUACUGAUAACAUUUGACUAACUUGUCUGUCUUUCUCUCCCCUGUAGUAGGCGCUGCUGCGUGAAAAGCAAAGCUCAUAGAUUUGUAGUAGUCGCAGUACUUUUCCGCAAUAUGUCACGUGGAGUCUAUACAGUAUAUUGGGGAUGCUCAGCAUAUGAAUAUCCCAGCUGACUUCCUGUGUGGAUAAAAAGCUGAUAGUGUCAGAUUUGUGAUUUGUGUGUUUUACAGCUACAGAGGAGAACAGGUUCAACUCGCAUUCUGAUACCAACUGCAGGACAUGACAGAAAAGGGAAAGGACAAUCCUUUACACAAACAUUUCCCGGACGUGUUAAUACUUCCUGUUCCUGUUUUAAUACGUAGUUACCUACCACAUACAUAUGUUCACUAUGCCUUUUUGUUCUCAAGCGUUUGCACCUUUAUGUAUAAAGACCAUUAUUAUGCAUAAUCAUGCUGUACCAAACAUUUUUCUAUUGUAACCUGAACGGUCGAGACAGACGGCUGCCCCACUGAGCCUGGGUUCUGUCCAAGGUUUCUUCCCAAGUGGGAGUUUUUCCUUGCCUCCGUUGCCAGGUGCUUGCUCAUGUGGGUUUCUGUUGUUCAUUUAUGAUAAACUUGAUAGACCAAACUAAUGAUGAUGAUGAUAAUAAUAAUGUGAACCAAAGUGCCUCGAGAUCACUUGUUUUGUUGUGAGUUGGUGCGAUAUGUCAUUGAACGCUUCUUUUAAUUACUGCUGUUUUUUUUUCUGAAAUAUUUGAUGUGCCUUGGGCCGCUGACCUAAACUGUUGAGUUACAUACGGGACAUGUUGCCUUGCUACAUGAAGUGUUUGUCAUUGAUUUUAUCUUUCUAUAUUACAGAAUAUUAUACAUCACAAUACUGUUCAUAACUGGUGUAAUUGUUGACAUUUUGACUUCAAGAAUUUAAGGCUUUGUUGCAUCUUGUGGUUCCUUUUUAAAUAAACUGU